rnacentral:rRNA from 1 species
CCUACGGGUGGCUGCAGUGGGGAAUAUUGCACAAUGGGGGAAACCCUGAUGCAGCGACGCCGCGUGAGUGAAGAAGUAAUUCGUUAUGUAAAGCUCUAUCAGCAGGGAAGAAAAUGACGGUACCUGAGUAAGAAGCCCCGGCUAACUACGUGCCAGCAGCCGCGGUAAUACGGAGGAUGCGAGCGUUAUCCGGAUUUAUUGGGUUUAAAGGGUGCGUAGGCGGUUUUUUAAGUUAGUGGUUAAACGUCGGGGCUUCACCUUGAUUUGCCAUUAAUACUGUAAGACUCGAGUUCAGACGAGGUAGGCGGAAUAAGUUAAGUAGCGGUGAAAUGCUUAGAUAUAACUUAGAACUCCGAUAGCGAAGGCAGCUUACCAGACUGCGACUGACGCUGAAGCACGAGAGCGUGGGUAGCGAACAGGAUUAGAUACCCCAGUAGUC